UCCGGCUUAUCACCGGCAGUCCCUCUAGAGUGCCCAACUUAAUGAUGGCAACUAAAGGCAAGGGUUGCGCUCGUUGCGGGACUUAACCCAACAUCUCACGACACGAGCUGACGACAACCAUGCACCACCUGUCACCACUGUCCCCGAAGGGAAAGCCAUGUCUCCAUAGCGGUCAGUGGGAUGUCAAGACCUGGUAAGGUUCUUCGCGUUGCUUCGAAUUAAACCACAUGCUCCGCUGCUUGUGCGGGCCCCCGUCAAUUCCUUUGAGUUUUAGCCUUGCGGCCGUACUCCCCAGGCGGGGUGCUUAAUGCGUUAGCUUCGGCACGGGGGGAGUCGACACCCCCCACACCUAGCACCCAUCGUUUACAGCGUGGACUAC
rnacentral:misc_RNA from 1 species